AAGAAUUAAAUGGAUGAAAUAUGAAGUUUUAUUAAAAGAAAAAGGGGUGAAAAGAACAAAGUUUUGUCCAUCUUUGUUCAUCAUAGCUGAAAGUUAGAGAAGAGAAAUGAGAGGAGAAAGUUCUUGAGUAUUUGGUCAUUAGGAGGAGGAAAAUUGAAGGCGGUUCGUGUGUGGAUCUCGUCAGCAUAUCGUCGCAAAUAGGAAAUCCCCAACCAUAGUGGGCUUGGAGCUGUGAGAGAAUUCGGAGUGGCCACCCGUUCUGAAAGUUUGAUUUUCUUCUCGUGAACUGGACAUCCUUUUAAUUACGUUUGAGGUUUUGGGCUUUUAAAUGUAAUAAGGCCGCUUAUUUA